CAUCCCACCUGUGUGUCACCUCAGACCUGUCCAGCAUGGAGGAGAGGUUGCAGAAGCGUGGCUACGUGAGGCUAACAGAGUUUGUAGCAGACAUGACCAAAAUCUUCGACAACUGCCGCUACUACAACCCCAGCGACUCGCCCUUCUACCAGUGUGCCGAGGUUCUGGAGAGUUUCUUUGUCCAGAAGCUCAAAGGCUUCAAAGCCAGCAGAUUGUGAUGUCAGACUCCUGGGUGCCAGGGUCACGCUCAAAACAAACAAAAAGAAAAUUCACAAUCCAGGAAGUAGUAUUUGUUGUUUGACCUUGUGUAAGGCUUGUUUGACCUUGUGUAAGGCAGCACUAAAAUCAUUUGUCUAUUGGAGGAUUGGCAGCCAUGUUGGUAACACCACAAGAAGGAACACCUCACCUCACCUCACCUUACCUCACCUCACCUCCUAGCCAAGAUGUUCUUGUAUAUAAUUCUUCUCCAAGCAGAUUGUCAUGUCAAACAUCUACAGUUUCACCAACAUGGCUGCUUGGUCUGACCCACUGGCAUCCAUUACGUGUCUUUUCUAUUUGUCCUAGUCAAUAUUUUUGUCAUAUUGUAAAGCUUUUAAUAAAAAAAAGGAAACAACCAACCCUUUUUCUUUUC